GGAGGCAGAUUUCCCGGCUUCAUGGAAAGAGACAAAAAUAUGGAGGAGAUGGAGGCACCAAGGCCAGCACAGUCUUCAUGUGGGAAUGUCCGGGCUCCAACUGAGAUGGUGGCAGACAGAGUUGAGAGUUUUCCCCUUGUCAUCCCUGAGCUGCAGGGGUGCCUCCUGUCUACUUCCUGAAACUGCACUCCUGACUCCCCAAGAUCAUUGUGCGACCUAGUAGCCAAGGUGAGCCUCCUGAAGACUUAAAGGAACACAUCACUGCUCCGCUAGGCUGGGAGGAGUCUGUUCAUUACGCACCCCCAUCCUCAAAGGCAGGGACUCUCUUUCUUCUUCAGCCCUACAUCACCAGGACCC
rnacentral:lncRNA from 1 species